CCUAGGGGGGGCAGCAGUGAGGAAUAUUGGUCAAUGGGCGCUAGCCUGAACCAGCCAAGUAGCGUGAAGGAUGACUGCCCUAUGGGUUGUAAACUUCUUUUAUAUGGGAAUAAAGUGCAGUAUGUAUACUGCUUUGCAUGUACCUUAUGAAUAAGGAUCGGCUAACUCCGUGCCAGCAGCCGCGGUAAUACGGAGGAUCCGAGCGUUAUCCGGAUUUAUUGGGUUUAAAGGGAGCGUAGGCGGGUUGUUAAGUCAGUUGUGAAAGUUUGCGGCUCAACCGUAAAAUUGCAGUUGAUACUGGCAUCCUUGAGUACAGUAGAGGUAGGCGGAAUUCGUGGUGUAGCGGUGAAAUGCUUAGAUAUCACGAAGAACUCCGAUUGCGAAGGCAGCUCACUGGACUGCAACUGACACUGAGGCACGAGAGCGUGGGUAGCGAACAGGAUUAGAUACCCCUGUAGUC
rnacentral:rRNA from 1 species